CGCCCAUUAAAGCGGUACGCGAGCUGGGUUCAGAACGUCGUGAGACAGUUCGGUCCCUAUCCGUCGCGGGCGCAGGAAAUUUGAGAGGAGCUGUCCUUAGUACGAGAGGACCGGGAUGGACGCACCGCUGGUGUACCAGUUGUCCCGCCAGGGGCACCGCUGGGUAGCUAUGUGCGGAAGGGAUAAGCGCUGAAAGCAUCUAAGCGUGAAGCCCCCCUCAAGAUGAGAUUUCCCAUCGCGCGAAGCGAGUAAGAUCCCUCGAAGAUGACGAGGUUGAUAGGUCCGAGGUGGAAGCGUGGCGACACGUGGAGCUGACGGAUACUAAUCGAUCGAGGACUUAACCA
rnacentral:rRNA from 1 species